rnacentral:rRNA from 1 species
GACGAACGCUGGCGGCGUGCUUAACACAUGCAAGUCGAACGGAAAGGCCCUGCUUUUGUGGGGUGCUCGAGUGGCGAACGGGUGAGUAACAUGUGAGUAACCUGCCCUUGACUUUGGGAUAACUUCAGGAAACUGGGGCUAAUACCGGAUAGGAGCUCCUGCUGCAUGGUGGGGGUUGGAAAGUUUCGGCGGUUGGGGAUGGACUCGCGGCUUAUCAGCUUGUUGGUGGGGUAGUGGCUUACCAAGGCUUUGACGGGUAGCCGGCCUGAGAGGGUGACCGGCCACAUUGGGACUGAGAUACGGCCCAGACUCCUACGGGAGGCAGAAGUGGGGAAUAUUGCACAAUGGGCGGAAGCCUGAUGCAGCAACGCCGCGUGCGGGAUGACGGCCUUCGGGUUGUAAACCGCUUUCGCCUGUGACGAAGCGUGAGUGACGGUAAUGGGUAAAGAAGCACCGGCUAACUACGUG